GACGAACGCUGGCGGCGUGCCUAAUACAUGCAAGUCGAACGCAGUGGGGACGGGUGAGUAACACGUGGGUAACCUCCCAUCAGAGGGGAUAACACUUGGAAACAGGUGCUAAACCGAUACUGAUGGAUGGACCCGCGGUGCAUUAGCUAGUUGGUGAGGUAACGGCUCACCAAGGCCACGAUGCAUAGCCGACCUGAGAGGGGGAGCGGCCACACGGGGACGGAGACACGGCCCAUACUCCUAGGGAGGGCAGCAGGAGGGAAUCUUCGGAAAUGGACGAAAGGCUGACCGGGAAACGCCGGGUGAGGGAAGAAGGUUUUCGGAUCGUAAAACUCUGUUGUUAGAGAAGCGGUAUCUAACCAGAAAGCCACGGCUAACUACGUGCCAGCAGCCGCGGUAAUAC
rnacentral:rRNA from 1 species